AACAAUGCCUACAUCACAAUGUUAAUGCAGCGGAUCCCAUUAGAACUCCGCAAUUAAGCGCGCUCAGGCUAGAGUAGUACUAGGAUGGGUGACCGCUCGAGAAGCUUAGUGUUUUACAUC
rnacentral:rRNA from 1 species